ACUGCUGCACUUUGAGUGUACGACACAGUCAGGCCGAGUCGUCUGCAUUAUUCGGAAGCAGCAAACGGCAAUAUUGCACUCGUCCCGGCCUGAGUGCGCGUUCAACUCUUCUUCCUCAGAUUC
rnacentral:precursor_RNA from 9 species